AGGUGUAGGCGAAGCGAAAGCGAGUCUGAAUAGGGCGAUUUAGUUAAUGGGAUUAGACUCGAAACCGAGUGAUCUAGUCAUGAGCAGGUUGAAAGUGAAGUAAAAUUCACCGGAGGACCGAACCCACUAGCGUUGAAAAGCUACGGGAUGACUUGUGAUUAGGGGUGAAAGGCCAACCAAACUCGGAAAUAGCUAGUUCUCCGCGAAAACUAUUUAGGUAGUGCGUCGUGUGAAUCUUGUCGGGGGUAGAGCACUGAAUGGGCUAGGGGGAAGCAAUUCCUACCAAACCUAAUCAAACUCCGAAUACCGAUAAGUCUGCACGGCAGACAGUCCAUGGGUGCUAAGGUCCUUGGACGAGAGGGAAACAGCCCAGAUCAACAGCUAAGGUCCCCAAAUAAUGAUUAAGUGUGAAAGGGAGUGGGAACUCCAAGACAGCCAGGAGGUUGGCUUAGAAGCAGCCAUCCUUUAAAGAAAGCGUAACAGCUCACUGGUCUAAUUAAGAGAUCCUGCACCGAAAAUGUAACGGGGCUCAAAUCAUUUACCGAAGCUUUGACAAUUACUUUGUAAUUGGGUAGCGGAGCGUUCUGUAAGCCUGUAAAGGUGAUGCGUAAGCAUUGCUGGAGGUAUCAGAAGUGCGAAUGCUGACAUGAGUAACGAUAAGAAAUGUGAAAGACAUUUCCGCCGAAAUCCUAAGGUUUCCUGCGUAAAGCUAAUCUGCGCAGGGUUAGUCGGCCCCUAAGGCGAGGGCGAAAGCCGUAGUCGAUGGGAAGCAGGUUAAUAUUCCUGCACCAGCUGGUAGUGACGGAUGAAGUAAAUUGUAAGUUCUUACUGGAUUGAGCUUGCAGUGAAUUUGUCCCUGGAAAUAGCUCCAGCAUUAGACCGUACCAAAACCGACACAGGUAGGAGGGUAGAGAAUACCAAGGCGCUUGAGAGAACUAUGUUGAAGGAACUCGGCAAAUUACACUUGUAACUUCGGGAUAAAAGUGACCUGCUAUUGGGCAACCAGUAGGAGGUGGCACAGAAGAGGGGGUAGCGACUGUUUACUAAAAACAUAGCACUAUGCAAAGUCGAAAGACGACGUAUAUGGUGUGACGCCUGCCCGGUGCCGGAAGGUUAAUAGGAGGGGUGCAAGCCCUGAAUUGAAGCCCCGGUGAACGGCGGCCGUAACUAUAACGGUCCUAAGGUAGCGAAAUUCCUUGUCGGGUAAGUUCCGACCUGCACGAAUGGCGUAACGAUUUCCCCACUGUCUCCAACAUAGACUCAGUGAAAUUGAAUUCUCGGUUAAGAUGCCGAGUAACCGUGGUUAGACGGAAAGACCCCGUGCACCUUUACUGCAGCUUUGUAUUGGUAUUAGGGAACAGAUGUGUAGCAUAGGUGGGAGACUUUGAAGGAGUGGCGCUAGCCAUUCUGGAGUCACUAGUGAAAUACCACUCUUCUGUUCCUUGAUGCCUAACCAUACACCGU
rnacentral:rRNA from 1 species